GGCGCCAUCGUCUAGUGGUUAGGACACAGGAUUUUCAUUCCUGGAACCGGAGUUCAAUUCUCCGUGGCGCUA
rnacentral:tRNA from 1 species